AGCAUUCACCAGGGGGGUCCCGACAAGGGGCUGAGAUACUGCUGGCAUUCGCAGCGCAGUGACCCGUUGAACCUGAUCCAGUUCAUACUGGCGUAGGGACGGUGCAAGCGCUGUAGA
rfam:Shinella sp. DD12 SHLA_5c, whole genome shotgun sequence.